CCCGCUCAGAAACUUAAAGGAAGUUGACGGGGCCGCACAAGCGGAGGAGCAUGUGGUUUAAUUCGAUGAUACGCGAGGAACCUUACCUGGGCUCGAACGUAAGAUGACUGUAGGUGAAAGCUUACAUCUCUUCGGAGCAUUUUACGAGGUGCUGCAUGGUUGUCGUCAGCUCGUGCCGUGAGGUGUCGGGUUAAGUCCCAUAACGAGCGCAACCCUACCUUUAGUUGCCAUCAGGUAAUGCUGGGGACUCUAAAGGAACUGCCUACGCAAGUAGUGAGGAAGGCGGGGAUGACGUCAAAUCAGCACGGCCCUUACGUCCAGGGCUACACACGUGCUACAAUGGCCGAUACAGAGGGCAGCUACCUGGUGACAGGAUGCAAAUCUCCAAAGUCGGUCUCAGUUCGGAUCGGAGUCUGCAACCCGACUCCGUGAAGCUGGAAUCGCUAGUAAUCGCGCAUCAGCCAUGGCGCGGUGAAUACGUUCCCGGGCCUU
rnacentral:rRNA from 1 species